rnacentral:lncRNA from 1 species
CUCCUCAGAGACAGGGUGUCCACCUCACACCCUUCAACCCCCAGCACCCAGCCCUCCGUGGGGGCUCUCUGCAGUUUGUGGUCCAGGUUCUGUUCUCAGGACAAGCACAAUCACCAACAGGCAUCAGCUGCGCUGGCUCCUGGAAGUCAGCCCUGCGCCACGCCCCUGAGCAGGUAAAGGUCGGGUUUCAGGAGAAUGGUGAGGAAUGGGAUGAUGACUAGAGAGGCAGUCGAGCUGGCAGAGGAUAGAGGGACAGAGAGCCAGUCAGGGCGGCUCUCACGAGCGGGACCACCUGCUCCUCCUCCUGACCAUGGCUGGAGCCUGGGUCCCUGAAGUCACCAGACCUGCAGUUCUGUUGAUUUUUGACACAGGAUCAAAGAAGCCCAUGCUCCUUCAAGUUAGUCCAGAUUGCAUGUGUAAGAGUGUAAUUGUGCCAGUGUGUAUGAGUGUGAGCCUGCAUGAGGUGUCUGUGUGUCAUUAUGUGAGUGUGAGUGUGAAGUGAGUGAGCAUGUCUAUGAGUGUGAGUGUGUGAGAUCUCUGUGUGUGAUUGUGUGAGCGUGUGUAUGAGUGUGAGUAUGUUUGUGUGUGAUUGUGUAUGCGUGUGUAUGAGUGUGAUUGUGAGGUGUCUGUGUGUGUGGUUGUGUGAGCAUGUGAAUGAGUUAGCAGGUUGGAGGUGCCUGUGUAUGAUUGUGUGAGCAUGUGUGUGAGUGUGAGCAUGUUUGAGGUGUUUGUGAUUGUAUAAGCAUGUGUAUGAGUGUGAUUGUGAGGUGUCUGUGUGUGUGAGAGCAUGUGUGAAGUGUCUGUGUGUGAUUGUGAGUGUGUAUGAGUGUGAGUGUGUGAGGUGUCUCUGUGUGAUUGUUACCAUGUCUAUGAGUGUGAAUGUGUGUGAGGUUUCUGUGUGAUAGUGUGUGUGUAUGAGUGAGUGUGUGUUUGUGUGAUUGUGUGAACGUGUGUAUGAGUGUGAUUGUUACAUGUCUGUGUGAGUGUGUGAACAUGUGAGGUGUCUGUGUGUGGUUGUGUGUGUGUAUGAGUGUGAGCAUGUGUGAGGUGCCUGUGCCAUUGUGUGAGUGCAAGCAUGUGUGAGGUGUUCUUGUGUGAUUGUAUGAGCGUGUGUAUGAGUGUGAUUGUGAGGUGUCUGCAUGAGUGUGAGCAUGUGUGUGAGGGUGUGAGGUGUCUGUGUGUGGUUGUGAGCAUGUGUAUGAGUGUGAGCGUGUGUGAUGUGUCUGCGUGUGAUUGUGUGAGUGUGUGUGAGUCUGUGAGGUGCCUGUGUGUGAUUGUGUGGGUGUAUGUGUGUGUGAGGUGCCUGUGUGUAUUUGUGUGGGCAUGUGUAUUAGGUGUAUGAGUUUGGGCAUAUGUGACCUGUCUGUGUGUGAUUGUGUGAGCAUGUGUGUAUGUGUGAGAUGUCUGUGUGUGUGAGAGUGUGUGUGAGGUGUCUGUGUUUGAUCUUGUGGGUGUGUGUGUGUGUGAAGUGUCUAUGUGCCAUUGUGUGAUCAUGUAUGUAUGAGUGUGUGUGAGGUGUCUGUGUGUGAUUGAGGGAGCAUGUGUGUGUGUGAGAGAUGUCUGUGUGUGAUCGUGGGAGCAUGUAUGAGAUGUCUGUGUGUGACUGUGAGAGUGUGUGCAUAUAUGAAUGGGUGUGAGUGUGGUUGUGUAUAUGUGACUAUGACUGGGUGAGUGUGUGUGAGGUAUCUGUGAUUGUGGGAGCGUGUAUGACGUGUAUGUGUGUGACUGUGUGAGUGUGUGCAUGUGUGAAUGGGUGUGUGGUUGUGUAUAGAUGAGUGUGUGUAUGUGACUGGGUGUGUAUGAGUUGUCUUGUGUGAUUGCGGGAAUGUGUGAGGUGUAUUGUGUGACUGUGUGAGAGUGUGUGCAUAUGUGAAUGGGUGUGAGUGUGGUUGUGUAUAUGUGAGUGUGUGAAUGUGACUGUGUGACUGUGUGUGAGGUGUCUGUGUGAUUGUGGAAGCAUGUAUGAGGUGUAUGUGUGUGAAAGGUGUGCAUGUGUGAGUGGGUGUGAGAGUGGUUGUAUAUAUGUGAAUGUGACUAUCUGGGUCAGUGUGUGUAAGGUGUCUGUGUGAUUGUGGGAGUCUGAGGUGAAUGUGUGAGACUGUGAGAGUGUGUGCCUGUGUGAAUGGGUGAGUGUGGUUGUGUGGGUGUGUGUUAAUGUGACUGUGUGGGUGUGUGUGAGGUGUCUGUGUGAUUCUGGGAGCGUGUGUGAGGUGAAUGUGUGAGACUCUGUGAGAGUGUGUGCAUGUGUGAAUGGGUGUGAGUGUGGUUGUGUAUGUGUGUUUGUGUGUGAAUGUGACUGUGUGGGUGAGUGUAUGUUUAUGUGUAUGUGGGUGAGCAGGUGCAUGUUUUACAAUUUCUUUGCCUAAGUUCUCCAGGCCUUCCUCUUCGUCUGGCAGCCAGAGCUGAGACCUGCACCAGUGCUGGAGAGCAAGAAUUCCAAACUUCAAAACUAAGCAGUCUCUGAAGAAUGGAGAUGGCAGGCGUUCUGCUCCCUUACAGCAGCUGGUAGAAUCAAGACCCAUGGGUCCAUGGAGGAAAAGGGGAAGAGCCUCUGUCCUUUGGACCCCUGAUCCCGGGGUUUCCUCUCACACUCCCAUCAUCGCCGUCUCCUCUGUGUGCUGUGCUUAUCAGCCCUGUGGGCUCCAUGGACAUCUCAUGUGCCUGGGAGGCUGCUCUCCUUGUCCUGUGGAUCCAGUUCUUGGCAGCCCCACUCUCAGGAGCACAGGAGUCCUGAGAGCCUCCUUCUGCCCAUCCAGAUGCCCACACACCUGACCAGGAGUGCACUGCUUGUUCUGACAUAAAAAAUGUGAGUUUUCUUCAGUUGUCUCUCGAUGUUGUCUUAUUUAAUAAAGAAACAGCCUUCAGCCAUGCCAGGCAGCCAUGGACUGGAAGCUUCUGCAGCUUGCUCGGGUAGAGCUGUUCCUCCUGGAGCCCUAACAAAGCCCUCCGUUCCCCUUAUGAACCCCCUGCCAUGGCCAUCUUCAGCUCCCCUUGGGGACUGUUCCAGAGAACAAAUCUAAGGACAGAGGCUGAACCUCCCUGGAGCAAGCCUGGCUCUACGGGUGGCUGACUCCCUUAGAGGAGCCGUGCUCCGAGUUUUCAGAAGGAAACUGCAUGUCUUUAAUACAAACACAGGUGUGUCUGUAAUGUUUCUAAAUGGAAAAGGAGUGUUUGCCCUCAGGCAUCCUUGAUGGGACAAUGGACAGCAGCCUCGGUGAAGGUGUGGCUGGGACUCCCAGGGUGUCUGCUCCCUCUGUGUAUGGGCUGGGCUCCCUAAUCCCUGCAAGGAGUCCCAAAGCCAUGGAGUAGAGAGCCUUUGCAGCUGCCCUAGAGCCUGAGAGGCC